rnacentral:misc_RNA from 1 species
CGGCGCAAGCCUGGAAGAGGUGAUCGUCGCCCUGGCGACCGGAUACGAAACAUACGCGCGCAUCGGCAAGCUCGGGUCGCCCGAUCUGCUGAAUGCAGGCUGGCAGUCGCACUCGGUGCUCGCAAAUUUCGGCGCCGCCGCGAUAGCUGCCAAGCUGUACG